GGCUCCACAGGGAUGUCUGUUAUCCCCAGUUUUAUUUUUCCCUGUAGCUUAAUGAACUCUGGUUCCACAGCCUUAGCACAGACGUUUUAAAUAUGCUGAUGGCAUGGCUUCAGUGGGCCUUUCACAAGAGGAUAAUGCAUUGUGUAAUCAAAACUGGUUAUACGAAACAUGCAGCGGCCCUGAUGGUAAUGUACAAAGGAGAUGGCAAAACUAACAUAGCGAAGACUGAAUGAUCUUCUCUGCAUUGCUUAAGUGUUGAUUACAUUGGCACCUGCUGUUUGAAAUCUAUUAGUCACACCCAGAACUGCUGAUAAUUACUCCUGAAAUUACAUUUAUUCAGGUUAUUUACAGUCAUUAUAGCAUUCAUCAUAUCCGCUAGUAUAUUAGUAAAAAUUCAGCGUGACCUACACUUGAAGAUAUUCUCUUGACUUUUACCAGUUUUCAUAGAGUAAUUAUGACCACAUGUGCUAACUUGCCCUUGUUGUUUUACUGGUUUCAAAAAUGCCAGGCUUAUUUUUAGAUUUUAAGUUGCACAUUUUGGCUGAUCUUCUGCGCAUGAUGUCAACUAUUUGAAUACAAUUUGGACUUGUUUUAGGAAAGUUACGUCCAUCGGACAUGUCUGCUUAAGCUACAUGCGGAACUGUCGGCUGGGGGGAGGUCUGUAGAUUUUGCACUCGGCUCCAACACACUAAACAUAACAUGUAUCAAAUGGUGACGCUAGCUAGGGAAGUGGCUGAAUGCUGGAUUCAGCCAUUAUCCAACGAAAAGCUAAUGGGUCGUGCUUCCAACUGCUGAUCAAUCUGGAAGCUGUGGAUUGAUAAACGUAAGGCUAAAUUUAACUUUGAAAUAAUAGCUCCCAUCUUGGAAAACCACUAGAUGUCAUCAAACAGCAGUAUCAUCUAGGAUGUGGUUGAAUGCUAAUGUUAGUUAACAGGUUAUCAAACAUUGUAUGUUGAUGUAUGGCCCGAUGCCCCUCCAGAUUUUCACUAUCCAUCAUUUCUUUUCAGAUGCUGAUUAACAGGGAAGCAAUGAUUUGAUUUUUCUGAUUUUUUACAUUUGUAGGACUUGUAACCUGGAACUCAUCAGUACAAGAUUUGAGCCUCCCAUGUCAGAUGAUAAUGGACGUGGUGUGAAUACAGUCCAUUCCGCGAAACAUAAUGCCAUACAGGUAUAAUAUUAGAAUUAAAAGCAACUGGAAGAAGGUGCAGGGACACUACAUUACAGUCAUCUUGCUGUAAUGAUGGUACCUCGAUGGCAGACGAAAGCUACGACAAUUGCCUGAUAAAGCACUAUUUCAUUAUCCAGCCACAAUAUGACGGCUGCGUCAGUCACUCUGAGUUCAGCGGUCCGUGAGCCCUGCUGCCACACAAGGAUGAACCAAAGUGUUUAUUCCCCUGAUGAGAAGCUGAUACACUUAUGUCUGCCUGUUUGGAUGACCUCUCUGACCCUGGGCGUCUGACACAGUAAUAAAGCAGGCCGAGGAGAUGUCCGGAGAGACAGAGGGAGACAGCGAGAGAGAAGGAGGACAGGGGACAGAGGAAGGAAUCAAAUGAAAGCAUACUCAGCACCUUGUCAGUUAUCUUUCCCUCUGUUUGUCUUAUAUCUCCCAGAGUUUGUCUCUUCUCUCCACAGUGAAGGGCAGAGAGGGGGCUGGACUGCUGUUCUCGCCCAGGUCAGGGCUUCCAUGCCUGGGACGGCAUCCUACUCAUCUCGCCACUUGUCCAGCCAGGGACACAUACUGGCGGAGAACAAGCUUCCAUCCAACUGUCAGGCACACUGACAAGUGACCUCUUUCAUGUUCUUAUACACCCAGGAAUUAGUGCGUGUUUCCAAGAGGGUGCAUAACACAGAUGAACACUGAGAAACCGAUUAAUUUAUAUUGGAUUAUUCUGCUGGUCAAGCUCAACGUCUGGUACAAAUGUUCAGGACCUACUGUAUGCUGGAAGAAGUGUGCUCUCUAUGUCGAGACUAAGAAAGUGCAUGUGGAGAUUGAGGUGGUGGACGGGUGUGGACAGACUGGACUGUUACGCAGCAGACUGGAGUUAGUGUUUGCUGGAACAAACGCAGAAGAAGCAACACCAGGAGGAAAACAGACAAACUAACAAAGAGAGAGGGAAAAGGACAGAAUGAAGUACACAAGGGCUAUUGGACAAAUUAAACCCCAUAAAAAGGGCGAGAAAAAGACAAAGGCAGGAAGUGGAAGUCGCUAUAGCACACAUAUGGAUGAAUUCCACAAAAUAAAACAUCAAACAUCUGAACUGAAAAUCCAAACCAUCACAUUGUGGCUGUUUAAACAUAUGCAAACUCACUUUUUAAGUGAAUGAGCCUGCAACUUUAAUUGUCCUACAGUUCGUUUUGAUUGUGUUUCAAAUGUGUCUGCAGUCUGCAGGAGUUUAGACACUGAUGGACAACAGACAGCUCCUGCCUUUCUGCUUCUGAGGCUCCGAUUUCUUUCCUUUCUUUUUUCCAGAUGACCCUGCUCUAAUCCCAGUAUCUGUUUACUAAUCUAUACAAAGCAGCAAACCUGAAACUAAAACUGUCCAUCUCUUCUUUCAUUGGUGUUGAGGCUUGUACAGACGAAGCUGUAACAAAUUAAUAAGGGAAGUCUGGAGCGCUAUUGAACUUGAAUGGACUGGGAUGUUGGCUAAAUCUGUUCAGACAACAGCAGCACACACUGGCAGAUCAGCACUUGCAGUGACUUGAAAAUAAGUGCAACAAACCUGAUUAGAUACUAGAUGCCAUUACACACAAGACAGACUCAAUCUAUUGGUCUGUUUAUCACUGCAAUUGUCUACACCGUCACCUCUUCACCAUCCAUUAAUCCAUGCAUUCCUACAUAUCCAUCUGUUAUCCAUCAUCAAUGUCCAUCCACCCAGAAUAAAGUCAUACAGAUGCUGAAUCAGUCAUCCAUCCAUCAGUUAGUCAGGCAAUUAACCACCCAUCCAUCCAGUGAGC